AACGAACGCUGGCGGCAUGCCUAACACAUGCAAUUCGAACGAGACCUUCGGGUCUAGUGGCGCACGGGUGCGUAACGCGUGGGAACCUGCCCUUAGGUUCGGAAUAACUCCCCGAAAGGGGUGCUAAUACCGGAUAAUGUCUUCGGACCAAAGAUUUAUCGCCUUUGGAUGGUCCCGCUUUGGAUUAGCUAGUUGGUAUGGUAAAAGCCUACCAAGGCGACGAUCCAUAGCUGGUCUGAGAGGAUGAUCAGCCACACUGGGACUGAGACACGGCCCAGACUCCUACGGGAGGCAGAAGUGGAGAAUAUUGGACAAUAGGCGAAAGACUGAUCCAGCAAUGCCGCGUGAGUGAUGAAGGCCAUAGGGUUGUAAAGCUCGUUUACCCGGGAUGAUAAUGACAGUACCGGGAGAAUAAGCUCCGGCUAACUCCGUG
rnacentral:rRNA from 1 species